GCUUGAGAGAACUCGGGUGAAGGAACUAGGCAAAAUGGUACCGUAACUUCGGGAGAAGGUACGCCCUUUCUGGUGAUGGGAUUUACUUUCAGAGCUGGAGAGGGCCGCAGAGACCAGGUGGCUGCGACUGUUUAUUAAAAACACAGCACUCUGCAAAUUCGUAAGAAGACGUAUAGGGUGUGACGCCUGCCCGGUGCCGGAAGGUUAAUUGAUGGGGUUAUCUUCGGAGAAGCUCUUGAUCGAAGCCCCGGUAAACGGCGGCCGUAACUAUAACGGUCCUAAGGUAGCGAAAUUCCUUGUCGGGUAAGUUCCGACCUGCACGAAUGGCGUAACGAUGGCCACACUGUCUCCACCCGAGACUCAGUGAAAUUGAAAUCGCUGUGAAGAUGCAGUGUACCCGCGGCUAGACGGAAAGACCCCGUGAACCUUUACUAUAGUUUUGCACUGGACUUUGAUGAUGACUGUGUAGGAUAGGUGGGAGGCUGUGAAGUGAGGACGCUAGUUCUCAUGGAGCCGCCCUUGAAAUACCACCCUGUUGUUAUUGAGGUUCUAACUUGGUCCAGUAAUCCUGGAUGAGGACAGUGUAUGAUGGGUAGUUUGACUGGGGCGGUCUCCUCCCAAAGAGUAACGGAGGAGCACAAAGGUACCCUCGGUACGGUCGGACAUCGUACCAAGAGUGUAAAGGCAAAAGGGUGCUUGACUGCGAGAGUGACGGCUCGAGCAGGAACGAAAGUUGGUCUUAGUGAUCCGGUGGUUCUGAAUGGAAGGGCCAUCGCUCAACGGAUAAAAGGUACUCCGGGGAUAACAGGCUGAUACCGCCCAAGAGUUCAUAUCGACGGCGGUGUUUGGCACCUCGAUGUCGGCUCAUCACAUCCUGGGGCUGAAGCAGGUCCCAAGGGUAUGGCUGUUCGCCAUUUAAAGUGGUACGCGAGCUGGGUUUAGAACGUCGUGAGACAGUUCGGUCCCUAUCUGCCGUGGGCGUAGGAAAAUUGAGAGGAGCUGCUCCUAGUACGAGAGGACCGGAGUGGACGAACCUCUGGUGCACCGGUUGUCACGCCAGUGGCAUGGCCGGGUAGCUAAGUUCGGACGGGAUAACCGCUGAAAGCAUCUAAGCGGGAAGCCUCCCUCAAGAUGAGUUUUCCCAUGAAGCCCGUUGAAGACUACGACGUUGAUAGGCAAGGUGUGGAAGCGCAGUAAUGCGUGAAGCUAACUUGUACUAAUUGGCUGAUUGUCUUGACCAU
rnacentral:rRNA from 1 species